rnacentral:rRNA from 1 species
UACGUAGGGGGCAAGCGUUGUCCGGAAUCAUUGGGCGUAAAGAGCGUGUAGGCGGUCCGGUAAGUCGGCUGUGAAAGUCCAGGGCUCAACCCUGGGAUGCCGGUCGAUACUGCCGGACUAGAGUUCGGAAGAGGCGAGUGGAAUUCCCGGUGUAGCGGUGAAAUGCGCAGAUAUCAGGAGGAACACUGGUGGCGAAGGCGGGUCUCUGGGCCGAAAUUGACGCUGAGGAGCGAAAGCGUGGGGAGCAAACAGG